CCUACGGGUGGCAGCAGUGGGGAAUAUUGGACAAUGGGGGGAACCCUGAUCCAGCCAUGCCGCGUGUGUGAAGAAGGCCCUCGGGUUGUAAAGCACUUUCAGUGAGGAAGAACGCCUGGUGGUUAAUACCCAUCAGGAAAGACAUCACUCACAGAAGAAGCACCGGCUAACUCCGUGCCAGCAGCCGCGGUAAUACGGAGGGUGCGAGCGUUAAUCGGAAUUACUGGGCGUAAAGCGCGCGUAGGUGGCUUGAUAAGCCGGUUGUGAAAGCCCCGGGCUCAACCUGGGACCGGCAUCCGGAACUGUCAAGCUAGAGUGCAGGAGAGGAAGGUAGAAUUCCCGGUGUAGCGGUGAAAUGCGUAGAGAUCGGGAGGAAUACCAGUGGCGAAGGCGGCCUUCUGGACUGACACUGACACUGAGGUGCGAAAGCGUGGGUAGCAAACAGGAUUAGAUACCCCAGUAGUC
rnacentral:rRNA from 1 species